rnacentral:rRNA from 1 species
AGCUCCAUUGGCGUAUAUUAAAGUUGUUGCAGUUAAAAAGCUCGUAGUUGGAUUUCAGUACGGGCCAGUUGGUCGGCCGCAAGGCCUGUUACUGACUGGUCUGUUCUUCUUCUCAAAGACUGCGCGUGCUCUUCGUUGAGUGUGUGUAGGAUUUGGGACGUUUACUUUGAAAAAAUUAGAGUGUUCAAGGCAGGCUUGUAAGCUUGAAUACAUGAGCAUGGAAUAAUGGAAUAGGACUACGGUCCCUAUUUCGUUGGUUUCGAGGACCGAAGUAAUGAUUAAGAGGGACAGUUGGGGGCAUCCGUAUUUCGUAGUCAGAGGUGAAAUUCUUGGAUCUACGAGAGACGAACAACUGCGAAAGCAUUUGCCAAGAGUGUUUUCAUUAAUCAAGAACGAAAGU